CUGGGCGUCGAGCAAUCGGCGCUGAAUACCGUGGAGAAGUCAGCAGAAGGCAUAGUAGGUGGGUGGCCCCACCGAAGGCC
rnacentral:ncRNA from 1 species